UUCCCAUGCUGGGGAUAGAACCCUGCCCGCCUGGGUGAAAGCCAGGAAUCCUAUAGGAAUCCACUAGACCACAUGGGA